rnacentral:rRNA from 1 species
AUGAACAGAGAACUGGGGUGGAUGAAUGUUGAAGUUGGCAUGGUUUGUGAGAUCUUAGUGGAGGACGGCUGGCAUCAUCGGGCGGAAGAGGAGGUGCUCAGUGCAUGGAGUCUUGCUAAAAUAGUUGUGCCGAGCUUUGAUUCUUGUAGUCAUUCAUGUCCCUGCAAAAAAUUGGACAAAGAUUCUACUCCCUCUGUCCCAAAAUAUAAGAACGUUUUUUACACUAGCAUAGUAUCAAAAACGUUCUUAUAUUUUGGGACGGAGGGAGUAACUUUGUGUGUGCUUGAACUUGUUAUUUCCGUCUGUUGGUGCCUGUACUAA